UGCAUUUAAAAUCCAAGGUUUGUAAAUGAUGAAAUAUCAAGAAAAUUCCUCUGGAUAGUCAAGUUCUGAUCCGG
rnacentral:snoRNA from 1 species